GUAGUCCACGCCGUAAACGAUGGGCACUAGAUGCUUGGGGGAGCGACCCCCUGAGUGUCGUCGCUAACGCAGUAAGUGCCCCGCCUGGGGAGUACGGCCGCAAGGCUGAAACUCAAAGGAAUUGACGGGGGCCCGCACAAGCGGUGGAGCAUGUGGUUUAAUUCGACGCAACGCGAAGAACCUUACCUAGGCUUGACAUGCAGGAGAAACGUCUGAGAAACCAGGCGCCCUCUUCGGAGUUCCUGCACAGGUGCUGCAUGGCUGUCGUCAGCUCGUGUCGUGAGAUGUUGGGUUAAG
rnacentral:rRNA from 1 species